rnacentral:lncRNA from 1 species
GCAAUCUACCGGAUGCUCGACCUUUGGAGACUUACUUGCCUGUAGUAGAAGGAGUUAACGUGUUCUUAGGAGAAGAAAAAUCAAUGAGUUUGUUUGUGUUUUAGGAAUGCUCAUGCAAACAGGAAGUCCUAGACGAAGGAACCGUGCUACCUUAAUUGACAUGCAAACGAGCGACUAUACGAAGCCUAGCAAUGCUAUGGU